rnacentral:rRNA from 1 species
UACGAAGGGUGCAAGCGUUACUCGGAAUUACUGGGCGUAAAGCGUGCGUAGGUGGUUCGUUAAGUCUGAUGUGAAAGCUCUAGGCUCAACCUGGGAAUGGCAUUGGAAACUGGUGAUCUAGAGUGCGGUAGAGGGCAGUGGAAUUCCCGGUGUAGCAGUGAAAUGCGUAGAGAUCGGGAGGAACAUCUGUGGCGAAGGCGACUGCCUGGACCAGCACUGACACUGAGGCACGAAAGCGUGGGGAGCAAACAGG